UGGCCGAGCACCCUGUAUGCACAGAAAUUCCAAAAUUAAAUAUUUUUGUAAAUAAUGAGCAUUGCCAAAAAAACUGGGCUACGUGUCUCCUUAUUUUUGCUCUAGAAUCGCCGGAAGAGGUUUGGAUAAAAUCGGUAACACCACAGGUGCGACCUCUUCUUGUGAAUUUAUGUAUUACUUUCGUGAGGUUUCUUACUAAAAUCAAGAAAUAUUUAGUUUAAAACCUUCCAACGGUAUCGUACUAUCGUUUUAAAUACAUUUAUAAAGAUUACCACUUUUUACCAUGGUAUGAUACAGAAACACUGUAUUGCUCACGACACAGGUUCAUAAUUUUGUAAUUAUUAUCGAUCGAACGUGUGCACCAUUCUCUCAAGGCUGUCUAAAUACGUAGUUCGUAGCGAAAUUAUUCGCGGCGACGUAAGGGGCGUGAAAAAUGAAUUAUCCGUUACAUAAUUAAGCGGAUAACUUAUAAGCGAUGGAUAAGAAAUAGGUUACCCAUUAAGAAAUCCAAUUACGAAAUUAAUUAGAGCGUGGUCCAAGCUCGCCACCGUACGAUAAUUUAGAUUUCGCUCAAGUCACAUGCAGAGUUGAUAAAUAUGAAACCUGUGCUUCAUAACGUCAUCGAGUCGUUACACACGCGUACACGCAUACAUACACAGGUACACGACACGGAACAAUCGAACGAAUGCAUACAAAAAGAAACACCGCAGACGCAUCCGUGACACAAAUAAGUCCGAAGGGAAGCAGGCAUGAUCAUCAGUAAACCUGGCUGUCGCAAGAAGAAUAAAAAAAAAAGAAAAAAAAAGAAAAAAAAAUACGGAGAAACGAGAAAAAACGUAAGUUUUGUAGAAACGCUGGGAUGACACGCCAUUUCGGAGAAGAA